rnacentral:lncRNA from 1 species
GUUUGAAACCGGAGAUGAUGAUGUCAUUACUGUUGGAGAUGUACGGCCACCAGAGUUCACACAGAGUACUGCCGCAGGACCGAGUAUUGCCAGAGAUGACAUUGUUGUACAGGAAGAGUCCAGAAAUAAAGCUAGGACUCCUGUUUCUGAGCUUACAAAACAAAUGGACACAGUCUUUUCUAGUUCACCAGAUGUGCUUUUUGUUCCAGUGAAUGGUCUAAGUCCAGAUGAAGAUGCUCUUUCCAAAGACAGAGUUUGUCACAAGAGGAGGUCUUCUGAUACAGAAGAAAGGCAUACAAAAAAGCAGUUUUCCUUAGAGAAUGUUCCAGAAGGGGAGCUUUUGCAAGAUGGUAAGGCAUCAGCUGAAAAUGAAGUCAUCGACCUUUCUGAUGCUGCUUCGAACUCUACAAAUCUAAGCCCCGAUGGAAAAGACACUACAGAAGAAAUGGAGUACAAUAUCCUUGUUAACUUCUUUAAAACCAUGGGCUAUUCCCAAGAGAUUGUUGAAAAGGUCAUUAGGGAGUACGGGCCUUCUACAGAACCACUCUUGCUUUUAGAAGAAAUUGAAAAAGAAAAUAAAAGGCU